GACGAACGCUGGCGGCGUGCUUAACACAUGCAAGUCGAACGAUGAACUGGCAGCUUGCUGCUGGGGAUUAGUGGCGAACGGGUGAGUAACACGUGAGUAACCUGCCCUGGACUCUGGGAUAACAGUUGGAAACAGCUGCUAAUACCGGAUACGAGACGUGAUCGCAUGGUCAACGUUUGGAAAGAUUUUUUGGUCUGGGAUCGGCUCGCGGCCUAUCAGCUUGUUGGUGAGGUAAUGGCUCACCAAGGCGUCGACGGGUAGCCGGCCUGAGAGGUUGACCGGCCACCCUGGGACUGAGACACGGCCCAGACUCCUACGGGAGGCAGCAGUGGGGAAUAUUGCACAAUGGGCGAAAGCCUGAUGCAGCAACGCCGCGUGAGGGACGACGGCCUUCGGGUUGUAAACCUCUUUUAGCAGGGAAGAAGCGAAAGUGACGGUACCUGCAGAAAAAGCACCGGCUAACUACGUGCCAGCAGCCGCCGCAGUAA
rnacentral:rRNA from 1 species